rnacentral:rRNA from 1 species
UCGUGGAGUGAUCUGUCUGCUUAAUUGCGUUUCACUAUAUAAAGGCCUGCCAUUUUACACUUGUUCCUACUGUGCCUUUUUAGGCAUGUAGACAGUGUUUAUAAUGGUGCUGUGCCUUGAAGGCAACGAACGUGACCGCAGCCUCUUGUUGCCUCUCUGUCAUUAAUUUGACACUUUUAAUUUCUUUGCUUUCAUUUCUAUGUUCUGUAGUGUAGCUUAUUU